ensembl:snoRNA
GGCAGAUGAUGUCUUUCCUCACGAUGGUCUUCAGAAGCCUGCCAUGGGCACUGCCGAGAAAGCCAGUUGGCAUUGCUGAUGCUGGAAA